UAACAGGAUUUAGAUACCCUGGUAGUCCACCCCGUAAACGUUGGGAACUAGUUGUGGGGUCCUUUCCACGGAUUCCGUGACGCAGCUAACGCAUUAAGUUCCCCGCCUGGGGAGUACGGCCGCAAGGCUAAAACUCAAAGGAAUUGACGGGGACCCGCACAAGCGGCGGAGCAUGCGGAUUAAUUCGAUGCAACGCGAAGAACCUUACCAAGGCUUGACAUAUACGAGAACGGGCCAGAAAUGGUCAACUCUUUGGACACUCGUAAACAGGUGGUGCAUGGUUGUCGUCAGCUCGUGUCGUGAGAUGUUGGGUUAAGUCCCGCAACGAGCGCAACCCUCGUUCUAUGUUGCCAGCACGUAA
rnacentral:rRNA from 1 species